UGCCAGCAGCCGCGGUAAUACGGAGGGUGCAAGCGUUGCUCGGAAUCACUGGGCGUAAAGGGUACGCAGGCGGCGACUUAAGUCGGGUGUGAAAUCCCGGGGCUCAACCCCGGAACUGCGCCCGAUACUGGGUUGCUUGAAUACGAGAGAGGUAAGCGGAAUUCCUAGUGUAGAGGUGAAAUUCGUAGAGAUUAGGAGGAACACCAGUGGCGAAAGCGGCUUACUGGCUCGAUAUUGACGCUCAUGUACGAAAGUGUGGGUAGCAAACAGGAUUAGAUA
rnacentral:rRNA from 1 species